AUUAUUGGGGCGUAAGCGCGCGCAGGCGGUCCUUUAAGUCUGAUGUGAAAGCCCACGGCUCAUCCGAGGAGGGGCAUUGGAUACUGGGGGACUUGAGUGCCGCAGAGGAAGGCGGAAUUCCACGUGUAGCGGUGAAAUGCGUAGAGAUGUGGAGGAACACCAGUGGCGAAGGCGGCUUUCUGGUCUGUAACUGACGCUGAGGCGCGAAAGCGUGGGGAGCAAACAGGAUUAGAUACCCUGGUAGUCCACGCCGUAAACGAUGAGUGCUAAGUGUUAGAGGGUUUCCGCCCUUUAGUGCUGCAGCUAACGCAUUAAGCACUCCGCCUGGGGAGUACGGCCGCAAGGCUGAAUCUCAUAGGAAUUGACGGGGGCCCGCACAAGCGGUGGAGCAUGUGGUUU
rnacentral:rRNA from 2 species